UACGUAGGGGGCAAGCGUUGUCCGGAAUCAUUGGGCGUAAAGCGCGCGUAGGCGGUCCGGUAAGUCCGCUGUGAAAGUCGGGGGCUCAACCCUCAAAUGCCGGUUGAUACUGUCGAGCUAGAGUGCGGAAGAGGCGAGUGGAAUUCCUGGUGUAGCGGUGAAAUGCGCAGAUAUCAGGAGGAACACCAAUUGCGAAGGCAGCUCGCUGGGACGUUACUGACGCUGAGACGCGAAAGCGUGGGGAGCGAUCCGG
rnacentral:rRNA from 1 species